rnacentral:rRNA from 1 species
UCAGUCUGCAACUCGAGUGCAUGAAGCUGGAAUCGCUAGUAAUCGCGGAUCAGAAUGCCGCGGUGAAUACGUUCCCGGGUCUUGUACACACCGCCCGUCACACCAUGGGAGUCGGGAAUGCCCGAAGCCGGUGGCCCAAUCGAGAGAAGGGAGCCGUCGAAGGCAGGCCGGAUGACUGGGGUGAAGUCGUAACAAGGUAGC